GGAGGGAUACCCAAGUGGCUAAAGGGGGCAGACUGUAAAUCUGUUGGCUUGUGCCUUCGAUGGUUCGAAUCCAUCUCCCUCCA
rnacentral:tRNA from 1 species